GCAUGAUUACAAUAUGUAAAUACGGAUAGAUAUAUUUACACAAAAAUAAAUACAAGAAUUUCAAAAGAGAUGAGUGCGACCCGGGUAGGUCGUAUGGAUACAGAUGACUAAUACAUGUAACAGAGCCGCGGCGGGUCGCCGUCGGUUGGUGACGACGCACCCGAAGCGGCCGAGAGAUACAAGGGGGAAGGACGGGCGGCGGUGAAAAGAUCAAUAAUCAUGUUGUAUUAUUGGAUCUAGUAUGCCUUGUACGGGGCUGGUUUGUAGGCGGGUGCUGGGUAAGCGGGUGCUGGGUAAGCUGGUGCUGGGUAAGCUGGUUUGUAGGCCGGGGCGGCUUUGUAGGCUGGGGCAGCUGGGGCGUAAGCCGGGGU